rnacentral:rRNA from 1 species
CAGCGCCGCGGUAAUACGUAGGGUGCAAGCGUUAAUCGGAAUUACUGGGCGUAAAGCGUGCGCAGGCGGUUAUAUAAGACAGAUGUGAAAUCCCCGGGCUCAACCUGGGAACUGCAUUUGUGACUGUAUAGCUAGAGUACGGCAGAGGGGGAUGGAAUUCCGCGUGUAGCAGUGAAAUGCGUAGAUAUGCGGAGGAACACCGAUGGCGAAGGCAAUCCCCUGGGCCUGUACUGACGCUCAUGCACGAAAGCGUGGGGAGCAAACAGGAUUAGAUACCCCAGUAGUCCCUGUCUCUUAUACA